UUGAAAGGGAAACGAUUGAAGUCAGUCGUACCGACGGAAAAUCAGCUCUUCGAGUGCGAACUUGUGGGCGUACGUGAGCUUUAACCGGCCUCGUUGUUUGCGAUGUUUGUGCUUUUUGGGUGUACUUUUUCGUAUGGUUGGCCAACGUCAGUCUCGGUUACCAUAAAAUGAUUGGAGGAAUGUAGCUUCGAUCUUGUAUUGAAGUGUUAUAGCCUCUGGUAGAUGUGGUGAACGAAACUGAGGAUUGCAACUAAUACCCUUCGGGCUAUCCGUCUGACCUCUGAAAGUUGCUUGGGUGCCGAAAGCUUGCUUACGGUCAUCCAUGACGACGGUCAAAAGGUUAGAACGUGAUUACAUUCGUUAAGGAUGUUGACGUA
rnacentral:rRNA from 1 species